UCCAGCAGUCAUCAGCUUUCCUGGCUAGUGUGAUGGCUGUGAUGGUGUUUCACUGUAGCGAACAGAAGCACUUGUUCUUCCACUGUAGGCUUGGCUCCAGGUACUGUUUUGGUGUUGGGCCAAAUACCCUGUUGCGGCCAUUGUUUUGCACUCUGCGAUUGAAAUGUACUCCUGUAGAUUGGUCUCUCGUCUAGGUGCAACAACU
rnacentral:snoRNA from 1 species